UACGUAGGGGGCGAGCGUUGUCCGGAUUUACUGGGCGUAAAACGCUUGUAGGUGGCCACGCCAAGUCGGAUGUGAAAUCUCCCGGCUUAACUGGGAGCGGUCAUUCGAUACUGGCGGGCUCGAGGCAGGUAGGGGGAAGCGGAAUUCCCGGUGUAGUGGUGGAAUGCGUAGAUAUCGGAAGGAACAUCAGUGGCGAAAGCGGCUUCCUGGUCCAGCACCGACGUUCAGGCACGAAAGCGUGGGGAGCAAACAGG
rnacentral:rRNA from 1 species